rnacentral:ncRNA from 1 species
CUUCAUGAGACGCGGGCAACAGCUCCGACUACCCGCGCACCAACCCCAGGUUCGUGGGUGGUUCGGAUGAGGAAGCGGCCCGCACGACAACGUGUUGGGUAAGAACGCACG